rnacentral:lncRNA from 1 species
UGCUCAUUCGCACACGCUUGUGAGGGUCGCUCCCUACAAGCCGGCACUCCGGAGUUGGCCUUUGCGAUACGUUCGCCGUGCGGGAUUGGGCGCCGAAGUGGAUUGCCGUGGGAAAGGCUCAUUCCUAGGGUGGGAAUGUUGACUACCACGGGGCCAUUAGGCACAGUAGAGCCAGACAGCCUUCGGGUGGGUCUUAUGCCAGACAGCCUUCGGGUGGGUCUUAUCAGAG